rnacentral:rRNA from 1 species
GAUGAACGCUGGCGGCGUGCUUAACACAUGCAAGUCGAACGGAAAGGCCCAAGCUUGCUUGGGUACUCGAGUGGCGAACGGGUGAGUAACACGUGGGUGAUCUGCCCUGCACUUCGGGAUAAGCCUGGGAAACUGGGUCUAAUACCGGAUAGGACCACUUCUUGGAUGUUGUGGUGGAAAGUUUUUUCGGUGUGGGGUGAGCUCGCGGCCUAUCAGCUUGUUGGGGGGGUAAUGGCCUACCAAGGCGUCGACGGGUAGCCGGCCUGAGAGGGUGUACGGCGGCAUUGGGACCGAGAUACGGCCCAGACUCCUACGGGAGGACGCAGUGGGGAAUAUUGCACAAUGGGCGCAAGCCGGAUGCAGAGGCGCCGCGUGGGGGAUGACGGCCUUCGGGUUGUAGACUCCUUUCGCUAGGGACGAAGCGUUUUGUGACGGUACCUGGAGAAGAAGCACCGGCUAACUACGUG